CUACGGGGUGCAGCAGUUUCGAAUCAUUCACAAUGGGGGCAACCCUGAUGGUGCAACGCCGCGUGGGGGAUGAAGGUCUUCGGAUUGUAAACCCCUGUCACACAGGACUAACCGUAAGGUUUAUAGCCUUAUCUGAAUUAACUGUGAGAGGAAGUAGUGGCUAACUCCGUGCCAGCAGCCGCGGUAAUACGGAGACUACGAGCGUUACUCGGAUUCACUGGGCGUAAAGGGAGCGCAGGCGGGAUAAUGUGUUAGGUGUGAAAUACCGGGGCUUAACUCCGGAGCUGCGCCUAAAACUGUUAUUCUAGAGUGCUGGAGAGGUAAGCGGAAUUUCUGGUGUAGCGGUAAAAUGCGCAGAUAUCAGAAGGAACACCGAAGGCGAAGGCAGCUUACUGGACAGAUACUGACGCUCAUGCUCGAAAGCGUGGGGAGCGAAAGGGAUUAGAUACCCGGGUAGUC
rnacentral:rRNA from 1 species